UCAAGGUAUGGACGGUGGAGAUUAGAGGAAAAAAACACGUGAUCUUCAUCCUUUUUAUUGCCUUUAUCCGUAACUUUCUCUAUCUACUUCAUACCUUUCUCUCUCUUGUUCAAAGCUCCAUCACUGUAAUUAUACUUCAAAUUUCUCUCAAAUAUUCAAUCACAUUACAUUAGCUUAAGAAUCUGCAUAUUUCGUUGAUUGUGAAUUACAGAGACUACAUUAAAGGCAUGCAAUGGAUGAGUAUGCCUGGUAUGGACGAAAACAUGUGUAAUACUGCAUUUUAAUCCUUACUAGAGAGCCAUGCAACCUGCUGUUAAUGGAUUUAUGGGCCCUUAUGGUGGUAACAUGCCUUACAACAUGAGGUAUGGUCUAGGAUCUGCGGAUAUGUUUUUCGGCGAUUUUAUUUCUCCAAAUUUUUAUGGAGCACAAGGGUUCAUGAUGCCCCAAAUGAUUCCUCCACAAAGUACUUCUACUUCUGAUGCCAAGCUACACAAGCAGUGUCAAUCAAGGAAGAUACAACUGCUUAGUACACAAGAAAGUCGUGGUAGCAUUAGUAUAAUAAUUGAUCGCAACACUCGUGUGGGAAAGGAACAUGAAAUAGUAAUGAAGAUUGUAUUGCAGUUCAAGAUGGUUAUAGAGACAGCUGCAUACAGCUGACACUGCAUUUCAGAAAUUCUUCUGAAAGUUCUAAUUCUGCCAAUUCUACUGAGCGAGGUGUUUAGAGAGCUGUUUCGGAUGGCAGAAGAAGAGUUUGGGAGAGUAUGUAUCAACUAGAAGCACCUGCAGAAACUACCUAUUUUUAGAAGCAUCAGCCACUUGUUGGUGUCGAGGCUGCUCUGAGGUCAUAAUUAGUUCAUGUGAACACGAAGAAUAUGGAAAGGACAAUGAGAAAAAAUGGCAACUAGGAGGGAUGUUAGCAUCUAUGGAACAACAAGGCAUAAGGGUACUCUUUGAGUUGCAUCGCGGUCUUGUAUAGAAUUUGACAAUGCUUGUCAAAAUCACCUCCAAUUAUCUUCAUCAUGGCACGUUUACAAGAAUAACAACUUGCUAAGUUGCUAUACACGGUAAGUUAUUGCUGUAUUAUAUCCUCAAUUUUCUGUAAACUUUAGUAAACUUUGAUGGCAAACUGUUCUAGCACUUAAAAGGCGGUGUUUAACCUGAUAUUUUUCCUGGUAGUUUUACAUAUUCUUGUAUGAAUGCCAUUGCAGUUACUUUAACAUUACACCACACAUCCACACCUAUAUUAAUUAUAUAGAACCAAUUCUGCAGCACUGCAGGAAGUAUAACCUCUAAUAUGACAUGAUCCACACCAACAACAAACCCCUACGGAACAUCAACACCCUUCUGCCCCACCACAAUACCGUUCAGAUUAACCCUCACCUCAUUACAACCUCGCACACCCCGAACCAUUUUAAACCCCCUACUCUUUCAUCCCACAACAACCCCUAAAUUCACACAACAACAAUACAACAAUACAAAUUCACAAAUUAAGUAAAAAAUCAAAACAAAAAUUAGCCAAAAAAACCCCCAAAUUUAGCAAAAGACAAAACAAUAAUAACAUUAACAAUAAAAACAACCUAAGGUGACAGUUGAAUCAAUGCAGCAAAACAAUGAGUAGCAAUUGCCCGAAGUAAUGAAAAGAAAUUUAGUCGAUGCUCUAGAUAAUCUUCAAAAUUCUUUGUUAUCAUCUAAAUCGCACAAUAAUAAUACUUGUUAGAUAACAUAGUGAAGGGGAAAAUCCUGAUGACAACUCUCUCAUAUAGAGCAACAUCAAUAACUCUCCAUAUAGAAAUCAACGAAAAUCAAACUAAAAUCAACGAAGCUCACCUUGACAAAGAAUCAAUGAAGUUUGAAGAUAAAUUGAUGAAGAAUCAAAGCAAAUAGCAGUUGAAAGGGAGCAGAGAAAUUGAAGGAGGAGAGAGAAAAUGGAGUGUCGAAUGAAGGAGGAGAGAGAAAACGCUUGAAAAUUGUUUUUGAAAUUAUGUUUAAUUGGGAUAAAUUGUAGUCAUUGGAUGCAAUUGAUCCAACGGUUGAAAUAUGUCCUCACAUAUUAGGGUUCUCACAUAAGGGAUGUGGUUUCAUAUGAUCCCAUAUAUAUAUAGGGUCGGGAUCCGGUGAGAACCACCCUUUAUGUGAGAACACUCCUAAUAUAUGAGAACAAAUCUAAGCCUUAGGAUCAAACGAUAUCAACGACUCUAAUAAAUCCAAACUUUUGAUAUCAAAUGAUAUACUGCUGCUACUCAGAAAAAUAGAGCAAAGAACUACGAGCUUCAAUUUCAAUGAGAUUCAAGAAUAUUGAACACAAUUCCGUUCGAUU